rnacentral:rRNA from 1 species
ACUCCUACGGGAGGCAGCAGUGGGGAAUCUUGCGCAAUGGGCGAAAGCCUGACGCAGCCAUGCCGCGUGAAUGAUGAAGGUCUUAGGAUUGUAAAAUUCUUUCACCGGGGACGAUAAUGACGGUACCCGGAGAAGAAGCCCCGGCUAACUUCGUGCCAGCAGCCGCGGUAAUACGAAGGGGGCUAGCGUUGCUCGGAAUUACUGGGGCGUAAAGGGGAGCGUAGGCGGACUGUUUAGUCAGAGGUGAAAGCCCAGGGGCUCAACCUUGGAAUUGCCUUUGAUACUGGCAGUCUUGAGUACGGAAGAGGUAUGUGGAACUCCGAGUGUAGAGGUGAAAUUCGUAGAUAUUCGGAAGAACACCAGUGGCGAAGGCGACAUACUGGUCCGUUACUGACGCUGAGGCUCGAAAAGCGUGGGGAGCAAACAGGAUUAGAUACCCUGGUAGGAUAGCG